CUUUGGUGCCUUCGGGAACUCUGAGACAGGUGCUGCAUGGCUGUCGUCAGCUCGUGUUGUGAAAUGUUGGGUUAAGUCCCGCAACGAGCGCAACCCUAAUCCUUUGUUGCCAGCGGUUAGGCCGGGAACUCAAAGGAGACUGCCAGUGAUAAACUGGAGGAAGGUGGGGAUGACGUCAAGUCAUCAUGGCCCUUACGAGUAGGGCUACACACGUGCUACAAUGGCGCAUACAAAGAGAAGCGACCUCGCGAGAGCAAGCGGACCUCAUAAAGUGCGUCGUAGUCCGGAUUGGAGUCUGCAACUCGACUCCAUGAAGUCGGAAUCGCUAGUAAUCGUAGAUCAGAAUGCUACGGUGAAUACGUUCCCG
rnacentral:rRNA from 1 species